ensembl:lncRNA
CAGCAGUCUUCCAGGCUCUGAUAAAUUAUGUUCUUAAGGACAUGCUCAGUCAGUUUGUAUUCGUCUACCUGGAUGAUAUAUCUUUUCAAGUUCCCCAAGUGAGCAAGUGGAGCAUAUGAAGAAGGUGCCAAAUCAUCUCCUCGAAUAUAACUUUUUAUGUGAAACCUGAGAAGUGUGAAUUUCAUGUGACCCAAGUACAGUUCCUGGGAUAGUAAUUACACCUGGCCACAUACAGAUGGAUCCCCAGAAAGUUUAAGCAGUCAUGGAUUGGCCCACUCCCUCAUCUGUGAAGGAGGUGGAGUGAUUUCUUGGUUUAGUCAACUUUUAGUCUGCCUUUAGUGAACUCAAACGCCACUUUACUUAAGCACCCAUUCUCACUGUCCCGGACCCAGACAAACUCUUUGUCAUAGAGGUGGAUGCCUCAGAUGUGGGUGCUGGAGCAGUACUUUCCCAGAGGGGAGAGGAUGACAUACUUCAUCCAUGUGCAUUCCUUUCCCACCGCCUAACUCCAAUGGAGUGGAAUUACCACGUGGGUGACCAAGAGUUACUGGCAGUUAAAUUGGCACAUGAAGAAUGGAGACAUUGGCUUGAGGGGGCCAAACACCCAUUUUAAAGUACUCGCUGACCACAAAAAUUUAGAGUAUAUUCAGCAGGCGAAGUGUCUUUGUCAGGCACACUGGUCUCUUCAACAGGUUUUAGUUUUAUUUAUCCUAUCGUCCCAGCUCGAAAAAUCUUAAACCUGAUGCUAUGUCUCAAGUAUAUGUAAGUAGUAACCAAGAAGAGCCUAUCACUCUGAUUAUCCCAAGCUCCAGUAUAGCGGCCCCUGUAUGGUGGUAACUCGAAAAUACAAUAAGAUAAGCCCAGUUCUGGGAACCAGACCCAGGUGGAGGGCCUUUUGGUGACUGACCAUCAAGGAGACCUUCAAGGAGAUACUUCAAAGACCCUAGUCACACCUCUCCAUGGACUUUAUUACUGGACUCCCAACAUCCCAAGGUAACACCACCGUAAUGGUCAUUGUUGACAUUUUCUAAGGCUGGCAGAUUCAUUCCCUUGACCAACCAAGUUUUCCAACCUUUGGCAUACCACAGGAUAUUGUCUCUGAUCAAGGCCCUCAGGUUUCCUCUUGAUUCUGGGGGGUAUUCAGUCAACUUUUGGGGGUGACGGUGAGCCUAUCCUCUGGAUUCCAUCCUGAGUCCAGUAGUCAAACAGAUAUUAAAUCAGGAUCUGGAGACUACUCUGAGGUGCAUGACUGCCAAUAAUCCAUCCCUCCUGGUCAUCCUUCAUUAUGUGGGUGGAGUAUGUACACAACACUCUAUGCUUAUCUGCUACAGGCAUGUCUUCCUUUGAAAGCCAGUUUGGUUACGCCCCUCCACUGUUCCCAGAACAAGUUGAAGUUGGAGUUCCCUCUGCACUUCGUUUCAUCAGACACAGAAGAAGGCUCGACACAAGCUUCUCAGUGUCUCUAAGUAAUAUCAGCCAUAGGGCUAAUCAUAGACACAGACCUGCUCCCACACUGUGUCCCGGCUAGAGUUUGGCUCUCCACUAAAAACUUGCCCUUGCAAGUUGAGUCCCGCAAACUCUCCCAGCACUUGACCGGGCCUUUAAGAGAGGUAGACCUCCCCCUCCUUCUCACAUUGUUGGAGGCCAACCAGCCUACAUGGUCCACUGGAUUGCCGUCAAGUGUGAAGAUCACUUCAGUAUAUUGUGGACUGACUACCUGCAAGGGACAUCUUAGACCCAAAAUUGAUAAGGGACUUCCACACUCAUAAACCCAAUCGUCCUGGGAGAAACGUCGGGAGCCAUUCUUAGAGAGGGGGUCCUGUCAGUAUUUUGGCUUGUAUUGUGUUUUGGCCUCUAGAGGUCCUCUUGGUGCUCUCUUGUUCAGCUUACUCUACUUGUAAUAAGUGUUAUUAUGUUCACAAGUGUCUCAUUUAGCUGUGUGUAUUUAAGUGGUAUUGUCUCCCAGUUCCUUUGCAUGGUGUUUUGUUCUACUAAGACAGCUGCCAGAGCAAGUGCUUGGUAGGUCUGAGAAAUUAUAAUAUCUUAUGAUUGUUACCUCUCUGAAUUUUGUGGAUUUCCUUUGGAUUGAUUUAGCUUUAAGAACUUUGAAUUUUUGGAAUAUUUUGGUGGGCUUCUAUCUUUGGACUGUAUUUGUUAUUUAAGAAUUGAUUUUUCUGUUUUUUGCUCUUUCUGUGAUUUUUUUUUUUUUUUUACUUUCGUUAAACCUACUGCAUCUCAACUUCUUCUAAGUGUGUCUAACUACUGGGUUCACCAUCCUCCAGUGGCUCAAGGAUUGAUUAUCUGACUCAUGUCAGAUACCUGAGUUUGAGCCCCGGCUCUGAGAACAGGAAUAUGUGUGGAAAAUAGAAAACUAAUUGUAGCCUAGAGAGAACUUUAAAUUAGAACUGCCUGCAUUGAGAAAUGUGUACUUUUUUUGGUUUUAAGGCCAUGACCACCAAGCCCACAGUCAGCCAUCAGUCAUCUUUGGGUCAUUGUUGAACAUCUGUCAGCUCAGUUUUUGUGGUAACUUCUGCACUGUCUGUGCUAGGGGUGCAAUGGUUCUCAGUAAAAGACCGAACCGUACUGUUUUCCACUCUCGGUCGGUACACAUUUGUACCACAAUUAAUCUCAGUUAUAAAAAAGGAUGUGGAUUAUCUGUUAUAGCGAAAAAACAAAGUUUCAAAUACACAUCUAAAUGUGUUCCUGUGGACCAUUCCACCUCUGACCAGCUGACACUUAUUUUGUACUUUUUUUCUAUUUAUUAUCUAUAAUUAUCUUUUUUUCUAGUAAUUAAAGAACUGAAGGC